rnacentral:rRNA from 1 species
AGGGCACCACCAGGAGUGGAGCCUGCGGCUUAAUUUGACUCAACACGGGAAAACUCACCCGGCCCGGACACUGGAAGGAUUGACAGAUUGAGAGCUCUUUCUUGAUUCAGUGGGUGGUGGUGCAUGGCCGUUCUUAGUUGGUGGAGUGAUUUGUCUGGUUAAUUCCGAUAACGAACGAGACUCUAGCCUACUAAAUAGAUCGUCGGCUUACAAACGCCGGCGAGACUUCUUAGAGGGACAGGCGGUGAUUCAACCGCACGAAACAGAGCAAUAACAGGUCUGUGAUGCCCUUAGAUGUCCGGGGCCGCACGCGCGCUACACUGGAGGAAUCAGCGUGCUUGACCCAUUGCCGAAAGGCAUUGGUAAACCCUUGAAAAUCCUCCGUGAUCGGGAUCGGGAAUUGCAAUUAUUUCCCUUGAACGAGGAAUUCCCAGUAAGUGUGAGUCAUCAGCUCACGUUGAUUACGUCCCUGCCCUUUGUACACACCGCCCGUCGCUGCCCGGGACUGAGCCGUUUCGA